UGUUCCUACGGGGGGCAGCAGUGGGGGAUAUUGGACAAUGGGGGGAACCCUGAUCCAGCGACGCCGCGUGAGUGAAGAAGUAUUUCGGUAUGUAAAGCUCUGUCAGCAGGGAAGAAGAAAGUGACGGUACCUGACCAAGAAGCCCCGGCUAACUACGUGCCAGCAGCCGCGGUAAUACGUAGGGGGCAAGCGUUAUCCGGAAUUACUGGGUGUAAAGGGAGCGUAGACGGUAAUGUAAGUCUGGAGUGAAAGGCGGGGGCCCAACCCCCGGACUGCUCUGGAAACUAUGUUACUGGAGUGCAGGG
rnacentral:rRNA from 1 species